AACUUUUGACAACGGAUUUCUUGGUUCUGGCAUCGAUGAAGAACGCAGCGAAAUGCGAUAAGUAAUGUGAAUUGCAGAAUUCAGUGAAUCAUCGAAUCUUUGAACGCACAUUGCGCCCUGUGGUAUUCCGCAGGGCAUGCCUGUUCGAGCGUCAUUUAACCACUCACGCCUAGCGUGGUAUUGGGGCACGCGGUCUCGCGGCCCUCAAAAUUAGUGGCGGCGCCGGUGGGCUCUAAGCGUAGUACAUACUCCCGCUAUAGAGUUCCCCCGGUGGCUCGCCAGAACCCCCAAUUUUUUACAGGUUGACCUCGGAUCAGGUAGGGAUACCCGCUGAACUUAAGCAUAUCAAUAAGCGGAGGCU
rnacentral:misc_RNA from 1 species